GUACGGGGGGGGCAAGCGUUGUUCGGAUUUACUGGGCGUAAAGGGCGCGUAGGCGGCCAGCACAAGUCAGUUGUGAAAUCUCCGAGCUUAACUCGGAAAGGUCAACUGAUACUGUGCGGCUAGAGUGCGGAAGGGGCAACUGGAAUUCUUGGUGUAGCGGUGAAAUGCGUAGAUAUCAAGAGGAACACCUGCGGCGAAGGCGGGUUGCUGGGCCGACACUGACGCUGAGGCGCGAAAGCUAGGGGAGCGAACGGG
rnacentral:rRNA from 1 species